rnacentral:rRNA from 1 species
UACGUAGGGUGCGAGCGUUGUCCGGAAUUAUUGGGCGGAAAGAGCUUGUAGGCGGUUUGUCGCGUCUGCCGUGAAAUUUCGGGGCUCAACCCCGAAUUUGCGGUGGGUACGGGCAGACUAGAGUGUGGUAGGGGAGACUGGAAUUCCUGGUGUAGCGGUGAAAUGCGCAGAUAUCAGGAGGAACACCGGUGGCGAAGGCGGAUCUCUGGGCCGAUACUGACGCUGAGGAGCGAAAGCGUGGGGAGCGAACAGG